rfam:Brassica napus, WGS project CCCW01000000 data, contig: 2591
GGAAUAUAAGAACCCGUCUCUACACUUUUAACUAAAAAAUUUAAGAACCGGCUCUUAAAACUCUUAUUUAAGACUCUUAUUUAAAAACCGGUUCUUAGCUUUUUUAGCUAAAAGUUAAGAGACGGGUUCUUAUAUUCC